AUUGAACGCUGGCGGCAGGCCUAACACAUGCAAGUCGAGCGAGCGGCGGACGGGUGAGUAAUGUAUGGGAAACUGCCUGAUGGAGGGGGAUAACUAAUGGAAACGGUAGCUAAUACCGCAUACCAUCAGAUGUGCCCAGAUGGGAUGAGCUAGUAGGUGGGGUAACGGCUCACCUAGUCGACGAUCCCUAGCUGUUCUGAGAGGAUGACCAGCCACACUGGAACUGAGACACGGUCCAGACUCCGACGGGAGGCAGCAGUGGGGAAUAUUGCACAAUGGGCGCAAGCCUGAUGCAGCAAUGCCGCGUGUGUGAAGAAGGCCUUCGGGUUGUAAAGCACUUUCAGCGGGGAGGCGUUACCCGCAGAAGAAGCAACGGCUAACUCCGUGCCAGCCGCCGCGGUAAUAC
rnacentral:rRNA from 1 species